rnacentral:rRNA from 1 species
UACGUAGGGUGCAAGCGUUGUCCGGAAUUAUUGGGCGUAAAGAGCUCGUAGGCGGCUUGUCGCGUCGGCUGUGAAAACCUGGGGCUCAACUCCGGGCCUGCAGCCGAUACGGGCAAGCUAGAAUUCGGUAGGGGAGACUGGAAUUCCUGGUGUAGCGGUGAAAUGCGCAGAUAUCAAGUGGAACACCAGUGGCGAAGGCGAGUCCCUGGACAUUUCCUGACACUGAGGCACGAAAGCUAGGGGAGCAAACAGG